GCUUGGCCUCUCAUAACUGUGGGGAGGCUGCCAGGGUCAUUAAGUGUGAAAAAUGGCCCUAAGUCACUUUUUUUCAGUGCUGUUGUAACUU